CUGCUUGGGGAAGCAAUGAAACCCAUGGAGGUCAUGAUGUGCUUCGUGAGAGAAGGAAAAUGGCCUCACCUCUCCUUAGCUCUCGCAGUGCUUGGUGUGCAGCUCCACACCAACCCUGCUGUGCUCAUGGAAAAGGCUUCCAGGAAAUCUUAACCCUUUUCAGUGUCACCAUGUCAUUCCCACCCCCCACGCAUGGAGCCGAGGCCCUCGCUGGAUUCACACGAGGUGCACCUGCAGUGGGUUGUGUGGGAAGAAACUGCUCUGGAGUGGGCUGUACAGAUCUGGAUCCAGGUGGGAGCGACGGCAGUAGAAUAACUAAGUGAAGACCUGGCCACAGCAGGUGGCUUGGCAGAGAAG